rnacentral:rRNA from 1 species
AGUGAACGCUGGCGGUAGGCCUAACACAUGCCAGUCGAACGGCAGCACAGUAAGAGCUUGCUCUUACGGGUGGCGAGUGGCGGACGGGUGAGGAAUACAUCGGAAUCUACUUUUUCGUGGGGAUACGUAGGGAAACUUACGCUACUACCGCAUACGACCUACGGGUGAAAGCAGGGGAUCUUCGGACCUUGCGCGAUUGAAUGAGCCGAUGUCGGAUUAGCUAGUUGGCGGGGUAAAGGCCCACCAAGGCGACGAUCCGUAGCUGGUCUGAGAGGAUGAUCAGCCACACUGGAACUGAGACACGGUCCAGACACCUACGGGAGGCAGCAGUGGGGAAUAUUGGACAAUGGGCGCAAGCCUGAUCCAGCCAUACCGCGUGGGUGAAGAAGGCCUUCGGGUUGUAAGCCCUUUUGUUGGGAAAGAAAAGCAGCAGGUUAAUACCCCGCUGUUCUGACGGUACCCAAAGAAUAAGCACCGGCUAACUUCGUG